GAAGCCUUAGUAACAAAUAUUACGUAGCCCUGUCAGUACUAAAUUAUGGACACAAACCAUAGGCCUCA
rnacentral:tRNA from 1 species